rnacentral:rRNA from 1 species
UACAGAGGUCUCAAGCGUUGUUCGGAUUCAUUGGGCGUAAAGGGUGUGUAGGUGGCGCGCUAAGUCGGGUGUGAAAUUUCGGAGCUUAACUCCGAAACUGCAUUCGAUACUGGCGUGCUUGAGGACUGGAGAGGAGACUGGAAUUCAUGGUGUAGCAGUGAAAUGCGUAGAGAUCAUGAGGAAGACCAGUAGCGAAGGCGGGUCUCUGGACAGUUCCUGACACUGAGACACGAAGGCCAGGGGAGCAAACGGG